rnacentral:tRNA from 1 species
CGCGCAGCUCGCGGGCUUUGCGGCGCUCGGGCUUGCGCUGCCCGUGCCGGCGGCCGUCAUCGCCGUCGUGCUCGGCGCGGGCCUGGGCGGUGCGU